GAUGAACGCUGGCGGCGUGCUUAAUACAUGCAAGUCGAACGGAGACAAUAGCAAUAUUGUCUUAGUGGCGAACGGGUGAGUAACGCGUUGGUGACCUGCCCCGAAGAGGGGGAUAACAGUCCGAAAGGAUUGCUAAUACCCCAUGUGGUCAUAUGGAUUAGAUGCCUAAUGACUAAACGGAUUUAUUCGCUUCGGGAGGGGCCUGCGUCCCAUCAGCUAGUUGGUAAGGUAAUGGCUUACCAAGGCGAUGACGGGUAGGGGACCUGAGAGGGUGGCCCCCCACAAUGGAACUGAAACACGGUCCAUACACCUACGGGUGGCAGCAGUAGGGAAUAUUGGUAAUCUGGGAAACCGGGAACCAGCAACGCCGCGUGCACGAUGAAGGCCUUCGGGUCGUAAAGUGCUUUUUGAAGGGAUGAGGAAGGACAGUACCUUCAGAAUAAGCCUCGGCUAACUACGUG
rnacentral:rRNA from 1 species